CUCCCGGACACUGUAAACAAACGCUCCGACAUCUCUGGGGUACAUAAUGCAUAUGCAGGAUUGCUCAGAUGAUUGCAUGACAAGGAGAGAAUGAUUGCUAAGACGGUUGCCUAUGAUCUAGGGGAAUUAUAAAAAUUGAAGAAGGUCAACAACUGCCACAAAGGCUUGAAAAAUAGUUGUUAAAUAAUUCAUACACAAAACAGUUGGCCUCAUAUCAAUGUCCAAUAAGGAGUACCCGCGACGAAUUCCCAGUUUUCCCUGUAAAUCCUCAUUUGGAGUAGUAGACAGACAGUGCGGACAAAAUUUCAGAGACAAAUCACAGAUUUGACCACUGAGGAAGACGCGUUGAAGCGUCGAAAGCUUUGGCAAAGAAUUUUGUGUUUUCCUGUCCUGGAAGGAUUGCACCCCCUGACGCAUCCGGAGGGAG